UACGUAGGUGGCAAGCGUUGUCCGGAUUUACUGGGCGUAAAGCGUGCGCAGGCGGCUAUGUAAGACAGGUGUGAAAUCCCAGGGCUUAACCUUGGAACUGCAUUUGUGACUGCAUAGCUAGAGUACGGUAGAGGGGGAUGGAAUUCCGCGUGUAGCAGUGAAAUGCGUAGAUAUGCGGAGGAACACCGAUGGCGAAGGCAAUCCCCUGGACCUGUACUGACGCUCAUGCACGAAAGCGUGGGGAGCAAACAGG
rnacentral:rRNA from 1 species